GACGAACGCUGGCGGCGUGCUUAACACAUGCAAGUCGAACGGAAAGGCCCUGCUUUUGUGGGGUGCUCGAGUGGCGAACGGGUGAGUAACACGUGAGUAACCUGCCCUUGACUUUGGGAUAACUUCAGGAAACUGGGGCUAAUACCGGAUAGGAGCUCCUGCUGCAUGGUGGGGGUUGGAAAGUUUCGGCGGUUGGGGAUGGACUCGCGGCUUAUCAGCUUGUUGGUGGGGUAGUGGCUUACCAAGGCUUUGAAGGGUAGCCGGCCUGGGAGGGUGACCGGCCACAUUGGGACUGAGAUACGGCCCAGACUCCUACGGGAGGCAGCAGUGGGGAAUAUUGCACAAUGGGCGGAAGCCUGAUGCAGCAACGCCGCGUGCGGGAUGACGGCCUUCGGGUUGUAAACCGCUUUCGCCUGUGACGAAGCGUGAGUGACGGUAAUGGGUAAAGAAGCACCGGCUAACUACGU
rnacentral:rRNA from 1 species